rnacentral:rRNA from 1 species
GGGGGGGGGGGGGGGGGGGGGGGGGGGGGGGGGGGGGGGCGGGGGGGCCGUGCGGUGGUGGGGGGCUCGGGUGGCGGACGGGGGAGUAGCAAGUGGGUAACGUGCCCUGGGCUUUGGGAGAACUUCAGGAAACUGGGGCUAAUACCGGAUAGGAGCUCCUGCUGCCUGGUGGGGGUUGGAAGGUUUCGGCGGUUGGGGAUGGACUCGCGGCUUAUCAGCUUGUUUGUGGGGUAGUGGCUUACCAAGGCUUUGACGGGUAGCCGGCCUGAGAGGGUGACCGGCCACAUUGGGACUGAGAUACGGCCCAGACUCCUACGGGAGGCAGCAGUGGGGAAUAUUGCACAAUGGGCGGAAGCCUGAUGCAGCAACGCCGCGUGCGGGAUGACGGCCUUCGGGUUGUAAACCGCUUUCGCCUGUGACGAAGCGUGAGUGACGGUAAUGGGUAAAGAAGCACCGGCUAACUACGUG